AUACGUAGGUGACAAGCGUUAUCCGGAUUUACUGGGCGUAAAGGGCGUGUAGGCGGUCUUGCAAGUCAGAAGUGAAAUUCCUGAGCUCAACUCGGGCGCUGCUUCUGAAACUGCAGGACUUGAGUGCUGGAGGGGAUAGCGGAAUUCCUAGUGGAGCGGUAAAAUGCACAGAUAUUAGGAAGAACACCGGUGGCGAAGGCGGCUAUCUGGACAGUAACUGACGCUGAGGCGCGAAAGCUGGGGAAGCAAACAGGAUUAGAUCCCCUGGUAGUCCACGCCGUAAACGAUGAAUACUAGGUGUAGGGGGUAUCGACUCCCUCUGUGCCGCAGUUAACACAAUAAGUAUUCCGCCUGGGGAGUACGGCCGCAAGGUUGAAACUCAAAUGAAUUGACGGGG
rnacentral:rRNA from 1 species